CGGGUGGUAAUGCCGGAUGCUCCGACAUGACGCAUGUCGUGUCGGGAAAGAUUCAUCGGUAUGGGAUGGGGUCGCGUCCUAUCAGCUUGAUGGCGGGGUAACGGCCCACCAUGGCUUCGACGGGUAGCCGGCCUGAGAGGGCGACCGGCCACAUUGGGACUGAGAUACGGCCCAGACUCCUACGGGAGGCAGCAGUGGGGAAUAUUGCACAAUGGGCGCAAGCCUGAUGCAGCGACGCCGCGUGCGGGAUGACGGCCUUCGGGUUGUAAACCGCUUUUGACUGGGAGCAAGCCCUUCGGGGUGAGUGUACCUUUCGAAUAAGCACCGGCUAACUACGUGCCAGCAGCCGCGGUAAUACGUAGGGUGCAAGCGUUAUCCGGAAUUAUUGGGCGUAAAGGGCUCGUAGGCGGUUCGUCGCGUCCGGUGUGAAAGUCCAUCGCUUAACGGUGGAUCCGCGCCGGGUACGGGCGGGCUUGAGUGCGGUAGGGGAGACUGGAAUUCCCGGUGUAACGGUGGAAUGUGUAGAUAUC
rnacentral:rRNA from 2 species